rnacentral:rRNA from 1 species
CAAGUCUUGACAUCCCUCUGAAUCCUCUAGAGAUAGAGGCGGCCUUCGGGACAGAGGUGACAGGUGGUGCAUGGUUGUCGUCAGCUCGUGCCGUGAGAUGUUGGGUUAAGUCCCGCAACGAGCGCAACCCUUGAUUUUAGUUGCCAGCACUUUGGGUGGGCACUCUAGAAUGACUGCCGGUGACAAACCGGAGGAAGGCGGGGAUGACGUCAAAUCAUCAUGCCCCUUAUGACUUGGGCUACACACGUACUACAAUGGCUGGUACAACGGGAAGCGAAGCCGCGAGGUGGAGCCAAUCCUAUAAAAGCCAGUCUCAGUUCGGAUUGCAGGCUGCAACUCGCCUGCAUGAAGUCGGAAUUGCUAGUAAUCGCGGAUCAGCAUGCCGCGGUGAAUACGUUCCC